rnacentral:rRNA from 1 species
CCUACGUGAGGCAGCAGUGAGGAAUAUUGGUCAAUGGGCGCGAGCCUGAACCAGCCAAGUAGCGUGAAGGAUGACUGCCCUACGGGUUGUAAACUUCUUUUAUAAAGGAAUAAAGUGAGGCACGUGUGCCUUUUUGUAUGUACUUUAUGAAUAAGGAUUGGCUAACUCCGUGCCAGCAGCCGCCGUAAUACGGAGGAUCCGAAGUUUAUCCGGAUUUAUUGGGGUUAAAGGGAGCGUAGAUGGGUUGUUAAGUCAGGUGUGAAAGUUUGCGGCUUAACCGUAAAAUUGCAAUUGAUACUGGCAGUCUUGAGUACAGUUGAGGUAGGCGGAAUUCGUGGUGUAGCGGUGAAAUGCUUAGAUAUCACGAAGAACUCCGAUUGCGAAGGCAGCUUACUAAACUGCCACUGACAUUGAUGCUCGAAAGUGUGGGUAUCAAACAGGAUUAGAUACCCUUGUAGUC